rnacentral:tRNA from 1 species
GUCGCGAUGGUGAAAUUGGUAUACACGCCAGAUUCAGGUUCUGGUGGGGGUUUCCCUGUGAGGGUUCGAGUCCCUCUCGCGGCA